rnacentral:rRNA from 1 species
UACAGAGGGUGCGAGCGUUAAUCGGAGUUACUGGGCGUAAAGGGCGCGUAGGCGGUGAGAUGAGUGUGAUGUGAAAGCCCCGGGCUUAACCUGGGAAGUGCAUCGCAAACGAUCUGACUGGAGUAGAUGAGAGGGUGGCGGAAUUUCCGGUGUAGCGGUGAAAUGCGUAGAGAUCGGAAGGAACGUCAAUGGCGAAGGCAGCCACCUGGCAUCAUACUGACGCUGGAGGCGACGAAAGCUAGGGGAGCAAACGGG